GGAAUAUUUAGUGUUUAUAGAAAUAGAAUAAAUGCUCCAAUAGGAGGGAGAAAAAAGAGCUUUUGAGCCAAUAAUAUAGGGCCAAGUGGUGAAAAUUAAUAGAGGAAUCGCACGUAUCAACAAAAGCGGGAAGUGUACAACGCUUAUGAAGCUACCGCUAACUGCUUUUAGGUUUAUAAUAACGUUAACUUCGUUUGUUGCUU
rnacentral:misc_RNA from 1 species